AGUGUUUUAAAAUUUUAAUAGCGGAUGCAGUGGAUAAAUGUGUGGUAACACGGCUAGGAUAUAUUACAAACGAUGGAAUGUGCAUUGAAAAAAAUGUCAGUUGAUACAACUAUUGCGGUGAUGAAAUACAUAAAGUUAACAGACAACUGGGUAAACAUAACUAUUUACAUUCAUUCUUUCUUAGCUCUGAGUAAAACAAAAUGCUACUUGAAGUAAAGUAAACUUGUUACUUGUUCAAAACCAAAUGUAUAGAAAUCGAUGUAACAGAAAUUAACACUAUCAUGAUGAUGCUACUCUGAAAAAAAAACAUUAAUCAAGAAUUUUUGUGUAACACUGUCUUUUACAAAAUUUGAACUUACAGGGUGUAAUACUAAAGGUUUCUUUUUUUUUUUUUUUUUU